rnacentral:rRNA from 1 species
AAGUCGAGCGAACGGAUAAGGAGCUUGCUCCUUUGAAGUUAGCGGCGGACGGGUGAGUAACACGUGGGUAACCUACCUAUAAGACUGGAAUAACUUCGGGAAACCGGAGCUAAUGCCGGAUAACAUUUGGAACCGCAUGGUUCUAAAGUAAAAGAUGGUUUUGCUAUCACUUAUAGAUGGACCCGCGCCGUAUUAGCUAGUUGGUAAGGUAACGGCUUACCAAGGCAACGAUACGUAGCCGACCUGAGAGGGUGAUCGGCCACACUGGAACUGAGACACGGUCCAGACUCCUACGGGAGGCAGCAGUAGGGAAUCUUCCGCAAUGGACGAAAGUCUGACGGAGCAACGCCGCGUGAGUGAUGAAGGUUUUCGGAUCGUAAAACUCUGUUAUUAGGGAAGAACAAAUGUGUAAGUAACUGUGCACAUCUUGACGGUACCUAAUCAGAAAGCCACGGCUAACUACGUGCCAGCAGCCGCGGUAAUACGUAGGUGGCAAGCGUUAUCCGGAAUUAUUGGGCGUAAAGCGCGCGUAGGCGGUUUCUUAAGUCUGAUGUGAAAGCCCACGGCUCAACCGUGGAGGGUCAUUGGAAACUGGGAAACUUGAGUACAGAAGAGGAAAGUGGAAUUCCAUGUGUAGCGGUGAAAUGCGCAGAGAUAUGGAGGAACACCAGUGGCGAAAGCGACUUUCUGGUCUGUAACUGACGCUGAUGUGCGAAAGCGUGGGGAUCAAACAGAUUAGAUACCCUGGUAGUCCACGCCGUAACGAUGA